AGAGAUAAAAGAAGGCAGAAAGCUUAGAAGGCAGAAAACUGAAUUUCUUUGAUUUUCCCAUCACCAUUGAUGAAAAAAUAUAUCACCACAAGCAAUUUGAAGGACACUGGCUGUAAGUAAAACAAUACCUGCACCUGUUUCAUAACCUCUCCUGGCUAUAAACCUGAGCACUGAUGCUGGACCUAUUGUAAGUCAGAAAGUUAUAUAUG
rnacentral:lncRNA from 1 species